UACGUAGGUGGCAAGCGUUGUCCGGAAUUAUUGGGCGUAAAGCGCGCGCAGGUGGUUUCUUAAGUCUGAUGUGAAAGCCCACGGCUCAACCGUGGAGGGUCAUUGGAAACUGGGGAACUUGAGUGCAGGAGAGAAGAGUGGAAUUCCACGUGUAGCGGUGAAAUGCGUAGAGAUGUGGAGGAACACCAGUGGCGAGGCGGCUUUCUGGUCUGUAACUGACGCUGAGGCGCGAAAGCGUGGGGAGCAAACAGG
rnacentral:rRNA from 1 species